UGAACCUGCAAACUGCACAGAGACAACACCUAAGAUUAGGAUCAACCAUGUUUCUCAGGGUCUCUGAAGCAGCUAAAAAGUAAAAUCAUGCUCUCAAGCAGUUCUUUUCCCAAGGUUUUAGAAUCUAUGAUCUCAAGUAGCUGACCAAUUCCCAGAGGGUAUGGUUUUUCUUUAUCUACCCUGUCAACCAUCUCAUAAUCCUGAAAACCUCAAUUUAUAAAAUUUAAAAUGAGUAAUGGACCCAAACUGACAUUUGCCAAGAAUGACCACAGACUACAUCUCAGUCUAAAAAAGGUUUGGAGGGAUAUGGACCAAACACAGGCAGCUGGGACAUGUUGGCCGGUGAGGGC